rfam:Ovis aries breed Texel chromosome 9, whole genome shotgun sequence.
CCUUCGAUAGCUCAGCUGGUAGAGCGGAGGACUGUAGACGAAUGUCGCCAGCCAUCCUUAGGUCGCUGGUUCGAUUCCGGCUCGAAGAA